rnacentral:rRNA from 1 species
CCUACGGGAGGCAGCAGUGAGGAAUAUUGGUCAAUGGGCGGGAGCCUGAACCAGCCAAGUCGCGUGAGGGAAGAAGGUACUGAGUAUUGUAAACCUCUUUUGCCAGGGGACAAAGGCGGCCACGGGUGGCCGUAAGAGGGUACCUGGAGAAAAAGCAUCGGCUAACUCCGUGCCAGCAGCCGCGGUAAUACGGAGGAUGCGAGCGUUAUCCGGAUUUAUUGGGUUUAAAGGGUGCGCAGGCGGCGUGUCAAGUCAGCGGUAAAAUGUCUGGGCUCAACCCCGGCCGGCCGUUGAAACUGGCGGGCUCGAGUUGGAGAGAAGUAUGCGGAAUUCGUGGUGUAGCGGUGAAAUGCAUAGAUAUCACGAAGAACCCCGAUUGCGAAGGCAGCAGACCGGCUCCACACUGACGCUGAGGCACGAAAGUGUGGGUAUCAAACAGGAUUAGAGACCCUAGUAGUC